rnacentral:rRNA from 2 species
UGGGGAAUAUUGCGCAAUGGGGGAAACCCUGACGCAGCAACGCCGCGUGAAGGAUGAAGGCUUUCGGGUCGUAAACUUUUGUCUUUGGGGACGAUAAUGACGGUACCCAAGGAGGAAGCCACGGCUAACUACGUGCCAGCAGCCGCGGUAAUACGUAGGUGGCAAGCGUUGUCCGGAUUUACUGGGUGUAAAGGGCGUGUAGGCGGGAUGAAAAGUCAGAUGUGAAAUUCCAAGGCUCAACCUUGGGGGUGCAUUUGAAACUUUCAUUCUUGAGUGUCGGAGAGGAAAGCGGAAUUCCUAGUGUAGCGGUGAAAUGCGUAGAUAUUAGGAGGAACACCAGUGGCGAAGGCGGCUUUCUGGACGAUAACUGACGCUGAGGCGCGAAAGCGUGGGGAGCAAACAGG